GUUUCCCUCCACCCCCCAGGUCCUCUUUCAACUCAAGAGCUCAGUCCCGUGUGUCUCAUGGAGGCGUCUCUAACCAGGGAAUGGUCUAGGCCAAAAAAAAAAAAAAAGAAAAGCAGAAGAAGAAGAAAGAAGAAGAGGAAGAGGAGGAGGAGGAAGAAGAAGUAGAAGAAGAGGAAGAAAUGGGCCAAUUUUGUUGAAUUCUGUCUAGUGUGAAAACUUCAGCUGUCUCCUGAAUGAAAGUCAUCAUUCUGCAUUUAAUCAAUAUCCAGAAAAUGAUAUUCCAUGUGAAGUGCGGCAUUUUGUUUUGUGUUUACUUGGGAUUGGAACCAGCUGAUUGACUGAAC
rnacentral:lncRNA from 1 species